rnacentral:rRNA from 1 species
AGUGAACGCUGGCGGUAGGCCUAACACAUGCAAGUCGAACGGCAGCACAGUAAGAGCUUGCUCUUACGGGUGGCGAGUGGCGGACGGGUGAGGAAUACAUCGGAAUCUACUUUUUCGUGGGGGAUAACGUAGGGAAACUUACGCUAAUACCGCAUACGACCUACGGGUGAAAGCAGGGGAUCUUCGGACCUUGCGCGAUUGAAUGGGCCGAUGUCGGAUUAGCUAGUUGGCGGGGUAAAGGCCCACCAAGGCGACGAUCCGUAGCUGGUCUGAGAGGAUGAUCAGCCACACUGGAACUGAGACACGGUCAAGACUCCUACGGGAGGCAGCAGUGGGGAAUAUUGGACAAUGGGCGCAAGCCUGAUCCAGCCAUACCGCGUGGGUGAAGAAGGCCUUCGGGUUGUAAAGCCCUUUUGUUGGGAAAGAAAAGCAGCAGGUUAAUACCCCGCUGUUCUGACGGUACCCAAAGAAUAAGCACCGGCUAACUUCGUG